GAUGAACGCUGGCUACAGGCUUAACACAUGCAAGUCGAGGGGAAACGACGGGGAAGCUUGCUUCCCCGGGCGUCGACCGGCGCACGGGUGAGUAACGCGUAUCCAACCUGCCUCUGACUGAGGGAUAACCCGUCGAAAGUCGGCCUAAUACCUCAUGGCAUCGUCUGCGGGCAUCCAACGACGAUUAAAGAUUUCAUCGGUCAGGGAUGGGGACGCGUCUGAUUAGCUUGUUGGCGGGGUAACGGCCCACCAAGGCGACGAUCAGUAGGGGUUCUGAGAGGAAGGUCCCCCACAUUGGAACUGAGACACGGUCCAAACUCCUACGGGAGGCAGCAGUGAGGAAUAUUGGUCAAUGGGCGGGAGCCUGAACCAGCCAAGUAGCGUGCAGGAUGACGGCCCUAUGGGUUGUAAACUGCUUUUAUGCGGGGAUAAAGUGAGGGACGUGUCCCUCAUUGCAGGUACCGCAUGAAUAAGGACCGGCUAAUUCCGUG
rnacentral:rRNA from 1 species